UGGGGAAUUUUGGACAAUGGGGGAAACCCUGAUCCAGCCAUCCCGCGUGUGCGAUGAAGGCCUUCGGGUUGUAAAGCACUUUUGGCAGGAAAGAAACGUCAUGGGUUAAUACCCCGUGAAACUGACGGUACCUGCAGAAUAAGCACCGGCUAACUACGUGCCAGCAGCCGCGGUAAUACGUAGGGUGCAAGCGUUAAUCGGAAUUACUGGGCGUAAAGCGUGCGCAGGCGGUUCGGAAAGAAAGAUGUGAAAUCCCAGGGCUCAACUUUGGAACUGCAUUGUUAACUACCGGGCUAGAGUGUGUCAGAGGGAGGUGGAAUUCCGCGUGUAGCAGUGAAAUGCGUAGAUAUGCGGAGGAACACCGAUGGCGAAGGCAGCCUCCUGGGAUAACACUGACGCUCAUGCACGAAAGCGUGGGGAGCAAACAGG
rnacentral:rRNA from 1 species